CCCUUAGAUGUUCUGGGCAGCACGCGCGCUACAAUGGUCUUCGCAAACGGAUGCAUUCUCGAAGGAGAAUGCCAAUCUUGGAAUCUAUGCCUUGGUCGGGACAGUUGCUUGCAAUUUUUCGACUCGAACCAGGAAUUCCUUGUAAUCGUGAUUCAUCACAUCACGAUGAAUACGUCCCUGCCCGUUGUACACACCGCCCGUCGCUCCUACCGAUCGAAGAGUUAGGUGAAUUGUUUUGAUCGAUAAGAUUUGACUAUGGUCAACUCUCGUUGUGAAAUUCUGUGAAUCUGACUGUUUAGAGGAAGGAAAAGUCGUAACA
rnacentral:rRNA from 1 species